GAUGAACGCUAGCGGGAGGCCUAACACAUGCAAGCCGAGCGGUAGAUUGCUUUCGGGCAAUUGAGAGCGGCGCACGGGUGCGGAACACGUGUGCAACCUGCCUUUAUCUGGGGGAUAGCCUUUCGAAAGGAAGAUUAAUACCCCAUAAUAUAUUAAGUGGCAUCACUUGAUAUUGAAAGCUCCGGCGGAUAGAGAUGGGCACGCGCAAGAUUAGAUAGUUGGUGAGGUAACGGCUCACCAAGUCAAUGAUCUUUAGGGGGCCUGAGAGGGUGAUCCCCCACACUGGUACUGAGACACGGACCAGACUCCUACGGGAGGCAGCAGUGAGGAAUAUUGGACAAUGGGUGAGAGCCUGAUCCAGCCAUCCCGCGUGAAGGACGACGGCCCUAUGGGUUGUAAACUUCUUUUGUACAGGGAUAAACCUUUCCACGUGUGGAAAGCUGAAGGUACUGUACGAAUAAGCACCGGCUAACUCCGUGCCAGCAGCCGCAGUAAGAC
rnacentral:rRNA from 1 species